rnacentral:rRNA from 1 species
AGUGAACGCUGGCGGUAGGCCUAACACAUGCAAGUCGAACGGCAGCACAGUAAGAGCUUGCUCUUACGGGUGGCGAGUGGAGGACGGGUGAGGAAUACAUCGGAAUCUACUUUUUCGUGGGGGAUAACGUAGGGAAACUUACGCUAAUACCGCAUACGACCUACGGGUGAAAGCAGGGGAUCUUCGGACCUUGCGCGAUUGAAUGAGCCGAUGUCGGUUUAGCUAGUUGGCGGGGUAAAGGCCCACCAAGGCGACGAUCCGUAGCUGGUCUGAGAGGAUGAUCAGCCACACUGGAACUGAGACACGGUCCAGACUCCUACGGGAGGCAGCAGUGGGGAAUAUUGGACAAUGGGCGCAAGCCUGAUCCAGCCAUACCGCGUGGGUGAAGAAGGCCUUCGGGUUGUAAAGCCCUUUUGUUGGGAAAGAAAAGCAGCAGGUUAAUACCCCGCUGUUCUGACGGUACCCAAAGAAUAAGCACCGGCUAACUUCGUG